rnacentral:rRNA from 1 species
UAGGGAAUCUUCCACAAUGGGCGAAAGUCUGAUGGAGCAACGCCGCGUGAGUGAAGAAGGGUUUCGGCUCGUAAAACUCUGUUGUUAAAGAAGAACAUAUCUGAGAGUAACUGUUCAGGUAUCGACGGUAUUUAACCAGAAAGCCACGGCUAACUACGUGCCAG